CAGGCAGGCUCUGUGGUGCCAGCUCGAGGCAGAAGCCAGAUGAGCUCUUCACUUGGAGAUCUUUGCGCCCAGGCCCCGUGGGGGAGCAAGGCAGCCAGGUAUCGGGGCGUCACUGCCACUGACGGGGUGCUGCCCUGCUGCGCUGAAGCCGUGUUGCUCUGGAGACGCCUGAAGAAAAUACCAGAAAUCCCCAUACAAGAAGGAGAUUCUUUGCUUUGCAAUUGCUUUUGAUUUUGUGAUGUUUGCAUUGAAUAAUUCAUGAAACUAUAAUCUGGUAACUUAGCACCAUGCAUACUAGCAUAGUUAUGGUGAUGAAAAUAAAGCUUAAAAUGUUAGUUUUUCAUAUCACACAGCCAUGCUGAAAAAAAGAAAAAAUACAAGUCCCUUUUAAGUUCAGCUGAUGGCAGGAUCUGAGCAGUGUGGGGUUUGUGUUACUGAAACUGUGUACAGAUUUAACAGAGUUUAUAGCUGGUGGAAAAAUCUGUAGUAAUUACCAGCAGAAGAGCAAACUGCUGGCCCAAACAUGCACUCUGAUUGUGGUUCCUUUAUUUUUACGCUAUAGGUGAAACAGGGUGCUAAUAACCUGGAUUUUGUGAUGUGCCUGUAGAAAAAAGGGAGGCAUUUUAACUGUAAUAAUAGGCAACAAAAAUAUUUUCUAGGGUUUGGUGUUUUGUUACUUCCAGCACAUUUUUAUUUGGUAUACAAGAAAGGUGGUUGUACGUACUGACUGAGAAAUUACACCUAAUGAUUAAUAGUUUUUUCUGUAAUUUAGUAUAGAGGUUAGAUAUUCUCUCUCUCUUUCCUAUUAGAUUAUUUAUUAAAUAUUUUCUGAGUGUUAGGUGGUGUUGCCAGUGCCCAGUGUCAGACACGAGCGAAGCUGGCAUUCAUGUGGUUUUUCGGGUGCUUUCCUGCCGUGGUUGGCGGUGUGUUGCGGGGAGCAGGGCCGGGCAGUGUCCUUCCCAUGGCUGUAUUGAUUUGCCCCUCAGCUGUUUGCAGCGCAGAGAGAACCCAGGGCCUUGUUGUUGAUUAUCUACACAAUGUCUCAGUGAACAGUAUUGACCCAUUGCCACUCACUGCCUAUGGCUCUUGAUUUUUCACACUGUCUCCAUGACACUCACAAUAAAACAUACUAUCUUAUUGCUGUGUGGCUCUGGAAGCCAACCGAUCUGCCCAUAGUGCAGCUGCUGCCUUUCUGGAGCGCGUGUCAUUAGGUGGGCAGCAAGGUGCUGGCGCCCUUUGGGGUGGUCUUUGUGUACCCUGUUUUGAGGGGUCCCGCGCCCUGCACUCAGGCCGUGUCCUGCACAGCGGCAUGGGGCUCAUUGUGCUUCGUUGCUGCAGAUCUCAGAGAAAGGUUAUGCAAGGCGCUCUCAGCGUGGCUUUCGAAAUGUUUGAAUAAUCUAAAGAAUGAAUGAGAUUUUUUUUUUUUAAGGAAAGAGAAAAACCCAACCCACCCAACAAAAAAAACUGUUAGGAAAAGUGAGAUGAUAUAAAAUACCAAGAUCACUCUGAGAAUUUUAAGUGCUUUGAUAAGUUUCAAAAUAAUCAUGAAAAAUAGAAAUAUCAGUUUAGCUGGGCUUUUUGCAAAUCUGUUUAAUUAUAUUUUACUAUAAAGUAGCGUAGCCAUAUGUUGGGGGAAAUUAUGGGAAUUACUCCUUUGCAAUAGUUUUGUCUUUUACAGUAAUGGUAUUUGUGCUGUACUUUGGAUUAUUACUCCGAACUGCUGCUACGGGGGAUUUCUUUGUUUUUUUUUAAUAAAUAGAACUGUUCCACAAGAAGUUCUGUUCCACUAGAAUUUUCUAGUCUUAAACUGCACUAGGAACUCUGUUCUGAAGCUUGAUUAGAAUUAUGUAGAACACUGGCUGAACUUUGGCAUAUCAAUUCAUACAGUAUUUACUGUUGAAUCCAUUUAGCAUUUUCUGUUGUUGGAGAAGCAGUGGGUUUGUGACCAGAAUAUUUUUAAAUCCUUCAAAAACAAGGUAUGCAGAGACAAGUGAUGGGAGGUAAAGGCUCUGGAGGAGGAUUCCCCAUUCCGGCGGUGCACGGAGCAGCCUUUCAGGAGAUGCUGAGCCCCCUCCACACCUAGGGAGGACCCAAGUUCCCUGUAAAAGCAGAUUUUUUUUUUAUUAUUUAUUUUUUUUAAUGGUGCCUGGUGCCACAUCCAUCAGAGUGACAUCGGCGGUCUCCAGAGCAGCAUUUAGCAGUUCAGUGUGUGUUUAUCACGGAUGAAGGCUCUCUCAGGAAAGUAAAAUUGUAAAUGGAGGGAGCUGAUGACUGGUGGCUCCCUGGCAGAGGGAAGGAGAGAAGUGAGAAGGGAUCUCUGUGAUCAUCAGGUCUGACCUCCUGCAGGGGGCAAAACCCUUAAAUCUAGCAUCACUGGGCAACGUGCGUCUUGAGAAGAUCAUCUCACCUUAAUCUUAAAUUUUCCAGUAACGGAAAAUCUGCCAGAAUCAUCCUAAGUUGUUUCAUUAGUUAAUAAUUUUCAUUAUUAAAGCUAUAUUUUGUUUCUAGCUUGACUUUGCUUUAGCUUCAGCUUCUGACCAGUAGGUCCUGUUUUACUUUUAACUGUUCAUUUGCAUAAGAAAUUGUUCAUUUUGUUUAUGCGAGUGAGUGCUCUACACAUGGUCAGAGUUGCACCACCGUACUUGACAAAUGGAGGAGAUGAGGCUGCUCUGGGCUGGAGGGAGGCUGGCAAGCCCAGCCAGCCCAGGGUGCUCCCAAGGCUGGUGCUCUUCGGGUCUUCCCUCCACAAGCCCAGACCCUCUGGGUGUUCUCCUCAAGCUGUGGCAGCAGCAGCUCUUGCGCAGCUUCUGGGUUUAGACGGGCCCUUCUGGGACCCCAGGAGAAAUGCACUAAUUCAGCACUUUUUCUGUUUAGAGCUGCAUUCCAAACCACAUCGAUUAGCCAAUAUUUAAUCCACCUAACAGCCAACCUGUUCGUUAUGUAUCACUUUCAUUUCUCCCAGGAAUGUGUAAGACUGCACCAAACACCUUUCAGAAAUGUUGCCACAUGAGGGUUUUGACUUUUAUCAUUAAAACCAUACGUUUCAGUAAACUUGCUUGAUAACACCUCUUUUCUAUAAAACUACAUUGUUGACAAGGGUUAUAUUGUAUGUAAAUGUUUUAUUAGUGCCAAGUUCAUAUGAGACAUACCCUUCUUUGGAGAGAUUUGCAUCAGGGAGGUGGGCUUUUAACUAUUCAGGUCUUUCUCUUUGCUCCUUUAAGGUACAACUGUGGUGUAACUGAUGCCAUGAGCUCUCUCCCUUCCCCAGGAACACCCUCAUUUUUCAAACGCUUGCUGGGAGUCCAUGUUAACAAGCUGUGAGCGCUUUGGCUGCUUCACUCGAAGCUCCUACUUUUGGCUACGAUUAUCAGUGCACAUUUUACUCAAGAAUUUUUUUUGUUUGGAAAAGCAAAUGUUUCUGUUGCGAUUCAUUCUUUGGUCUGAAGAGAAAUUUCAACAGUUCUAAGCCAGGUUCUGAAAAUGGCUGGUCGUGGGUAUAAAUAAAUAAGUCUUUAACCUUGCAUGUCAGUUCUGGUUUUGCCGGGAAAUAGACAUUAAUUAUCCUUUUAAACCUCCAGUGCCUUCAUGAGCCUCCUGGAGGUUGACCUGAGAUCUUGAAAUGAGCUAAACACCGUUUGCAUGAUAAUGCAGAAGGCUGUUGCCGGGUCCCCCGGAAUGUGUUGCAGUUUUAGGAAGGCUUUCCAGCUGUCUAAGGAACAUGCCCGACACUUUUUGCGCUGCUUGCUCAGUCCGACCAGCAGCAAACUUCCACAGCUGCCUUGAAUGGUGAGAAAGCUGCUCAGGGCGGUGGGUUUGUUUGGUUUCGUUGUGCUUCAGGGUUUUUUUAAGGUAGUGACCAUAAACACAGCCAUAACUUUGUGCUUGCAUGUGGUUUGUCUGGUGCCCUUUCUGUUUCCAUGUGCUGCCCAAAAAACUAGAGAUGUACGUUCUUGAAAGGCGCGUUCUGCUUGUUCACGUGAUUUUUGACAAAUUUCCUCAAGUUUCUAUUUCUGGAGAAACUGAAGGAGAGCUAAAAGGGAAAAUGUAUGGCUGAAUCACCUCCCCAUUCUUCAGAGGGAGGGUUAUAUUCAGCUUGCAGAUUACUCAUGCUAUGCUCAAAAAUGAAAAUCUGGUACAAAAUGUUUACAGCCUUAUUCUAUCCCUUAAUUCUAUUUUGAAAAGAAAUUAUCAUAAGGAAAGGGCUGAGUAACAACUUUAACAGAAAGGCUGCUAUGCAGUUAGCCUAAUGCAUGUAUGUUUUUAUGCUUCCCCCCCUCCCUUUAUCCGUGUGAUCUUGUCCCAGUUUUAUUCUGGAUAACAGAGAGCUGCCCACGUUUAAACAGGCAGAGGCUUGCUGGCAGUUUUUCCCUUGUUGCUGUUGGUUGUUAUGCACAGGUUGUCCUUUUUAGGCUGACCUUUUACUGGCACAGCUUUAGGGCCAAGUGUGGUUCAGCCUUCUUGGAAGACAAGGGGGGGGGGUGUUUGUAAAAGUCCCUGGAAUGGGUUUGGGGUGGUCCUGGCGUGUGCCGGCUUGCUCCGUGCAGGGGGUGUUUGAAGGCAGGGAGGUGCGAUCCCCUCCAGCCAAGCAAUUGCAGGGGGCUUUGAGGAGCCAAAGCUUUUAAGCGUAUGCAGAGCUGCCUUUAACUGAGUCAUAGUUAUCAGGUAUUGCAAAGGUUAAGCUUUAUCAGCUGCACAAAAAAAGGCUGAGGUUUCAUCAAAAACUUCCAUCCUCACAACCUGUCGACCACAAUUUGAUGAUGAUUAUUGAUUAUUUCACAGCCUUUCACUCACUCUGGCACUGCGGCCAGCCUUGAUAUACAGAUAGGACUGCAGUCCAGCUAAAAUAAGACUCCAUCUUGAUAAUGGACUGAGAUGAGAUACUGUUAUUUGAUAAAGAUAAUUGAUGUUUCACAGUGAAUUGGAAAACAGUUCUGAGUGCAGCAGAUCUGUGGCCGCCUCAUCUGCAAAUGUGGCCUUUGUUUACAAAACACAGCAGAAGACAUGCCCUUAAACCUCCCUGCCACCGCUGGUUUAGCAUGGCUGGCAAUUUCUAGCCAAAAAUAAACCACUUAAAUGGAGAAGCGCUAUUUGUAAUUUCGCAGUCACAAUGAAGUUUCUCAAAGGUGUAUGUAGCUUAGCGUGCUUCUGCUGAGACACCCUGGAGAUCUUGCUGCUUCUGCUUGGGAUGCACUUGCUAAUUUAUUUCAGGUGAGCUGGUAUCCUAAAAUCCUUCUGUUGGUUGUUUGGGUUUUUUUUCCACUAGUAUUUAUACAUGGCAUUUGAAUCAGGCAAAAUGCUACUUGAAAAAGCUGGAAUUUGUCUGGGGAAAAUAAGGCCUAGUGUAUGUCCGGAUUUCUUUGUUCUCCUGAAAUUUUAAGCUCAUUAAUUGAAAACAUAAUGCAUGCUUGCAGUCUCCCAUCCACGCCUUUGUUGACUACACAUGUGCAGCCCCCGGUUUUGAAUUGAUUAAGGUAUCACUCAUUGCAAGUUGCAUUUGCCCAAGUUCUUUUAGUCCUAUUAUAGCCUUUGUAACCUCUAAUUAAGCAAUAGGAGAUGGCAGGGAGUGAGGUUAUCUUGAGCUAAUGACACCCCAAGUGUGUUGUGUGGCACAAGGUUCACCUGUGUGCUGCUAAUCCUCUGGGGGAGUGAUUAUCUAAUGAUAAAUGUGCCACAUUGCAGCUCAUUGAUGCCGCUGCAGUGCGCUCCUGCCACUGCUGGCGUGGCUGAAUUACGCUUCCCAUUCCAAACGUCAUCUUUUCCAUUGAUUUUACAAACUGACAGUUUUGAGGUUUUCUGAAGUGACUUACAUACUGUGCAAAGUCAUGACCCAGGAGACGUGCUUCUCUUUUCCUAUUUUUAAAGUAAUAUAUUUAUUAGGAAUACAAGGCGAAAAAAUGCAUAGUCAUUUUGCUAGGCUAGAAGCAGUCCCAGCAGGUGGGAUGCAGUUAAAGGCUCAUAUUAAAUUCAAAACAAAUUAUUAAUAUUUUGCAUAAGCUUGUAAAUUAUCGUCAACAUGCAGCUGAAAUUCCUGUAUUUAGAGGUGCAAUAAUACAGAAGAAGAGUGAUACUCUGCUGUUUUCUUUUUAAAAUUGAACGCUAAAUCAGCGUCGGCAGACUGUAGAGAUAUAUUUCAGGUAACUGGAUUUUAGGAUACAUGAUUGUUGUUGACCUUGGAAUGAUGGGAAAAUAUUAAUGUCUGAAAGUUGCUUAAUGAUAUUUUGCGCGUCAGAGCCUCUAACACUAUUUUAUAGCCGAAACAGAUUUAGUGACAUUAUUUGUUAAUUCUGAUCAUGCUAAUCUGUAAGAAUUAACUCACCUACAUUCUUUCUUUGGGGGUGUUUCUUCACCGUGCAGGUGAGCAGCAGGCAUGGCACUCAGCUCACAUAAGGGCUGUCCCGCAGAGGGAUGUGUGAGCUCCCGCGGGAGGCUUCCAAGGAUCUGCUGCCCUCACUGCCUGUACAUGCAGCCCAGGAACCUGGGGUUGGUGUGAUUAUCUCUGUUUAAAGUUACGACAGGUAAAUUCUUGCAGAGUAACAGAGUCCAGUCUGGAAUUCCCCCAUUAAUUCAUACAUACAAGCUGUUUGAUAAUUUUUCUUUUCCUGUAGAAAUGUGUUUGGGUAUGUAAUGAGAGACUGGCCCUUACAGAGUCACUAAUUAAAGACUUUCAUUAAAGCAUGAGAACUGAAGCUGCCUGCUGCUGUCACAUCUUCUGGGUCCCUUACUGGUGUAAGAGGUGGAGCCUCAUUCAGAAAAUAUAUCUGUUCUUCCCACCGAGAGGGCUCAAACUGAGAAAUUCCAUGAAUUUUGUGGGAAAAUAUCACUGUACCUCCAGUGCUGUUCUCAUUUUUAGGGCAUUUUGGGCCAUUGACUUCAGCCUGGGUAUUUUGCAUGUCUGUCCGUGUGUUCCUGUUGGCUGGUGGCUCCAAUCUUGGAAGAAUGGAGAAUUCCCUCUGAAAACAGAAACCCUUCCCCAGCAUUGAGCUAUAGAUGAUACAGGGUUGUAUAUGCAGCUGUAUAUUUUGAUGCAUAAUUUAUGAAAACCAUGUCUCCUGUAAAGGAAUCUGCUGAAGCCAAUGUCAUUGCUGUUCCUGAUACAUUUACCGGUACACUGAGGGGUUCCCAGGAUCUGGGCGCCAGCUGGGACUUGCAGUCGGGUCUGUGUUCCUUGCAAGUAGAGAAUGGCUUGGUAAAGUGCAUGCGGGGAGAAGCACACCGUACAGUCAAGGAAGCCAUAAAAUAUUCUAUUUUCAUUGAUUAAAUCUUGGCUUUCAUCAUAAAUAUUUAGAACUGCAUUUCAUAGAGAUACUUGUAACUGAUAUUGAAGUGAGCUGUGCUUAGUGUAAACCUGCUGUAAACCUGUAGUACUGGAUGUGUAAGGAGCUCGUCAUGAAUACAAAUGGUUCAUUUAGCUGAGCAGUAUUGAAUUCUUUAGCUAUUUUCUUCUACAAGUACUCCCUUUACCCUGGUGCUUACUCCUGCUCAGGUGAGUGUCCAUGGGAAGCACAGCUGGUGGUGGGUGCAUAGCCAGAGGAGCCCCCAGCCCCCUUUGUGGGAUCACUGCCAUGAGCAUCACUGUGCUUUGCCACCUCAGAGUGCCUCCCCAGGAGCAUUCUGCAGAUGAUGCAGAUACGCGCCUUUGUAUGCAAAAACUCUGCGGUUUUCACUGGAAGAUUAAAGAGAAGUCUGAGUUUUGGUUCAGUUUAUUUCAAAGCAAAAGAUGCUUUUAAACAUGGGUUAGAAUCGAUGCUGUUUGGUCCGAGGUGCUUUUAUUUGGCUCACUGCAGAAUUAAAGUUGGAGCUUUAGCAGUCAAAGCAGUAAUGGAAUUCUGCAUAGUGUUAUUUUUUAUUUCAGUACCUAGGUGACUUGCAAAUUUUUAUUCUUAUGUAAGGCAGAAGAUUAUUUCAUAUUAUAUUUGGACUGAAUAGUUGCUGAUGUCAGAUGGCUUGUUUCAGUUAAGUUUGAUUAUUGAAUAAAAGACACUGUACUCAAAUACGGUAUUUUAAAGACAGAAGAAGAAAGAUAGUUAUCCUGGAAUCUGAACCUAUAUGUGCAUUUACUGACACUGUCGCACCGACAAGUUCAGAUGAGGCAGGAAAACUUGGUAGCAGGAACACACACAUCCUCAAAUUGCAGAUAAAAGAUAAUUACUGAGUAUAAUCUUUUAAUUUCAUAGGCUUUUUCUCACUGGAGGCAGGAAGGGAAGCUGUUAGGCUGCAGAGCAAAUGCCCCCUUGCCAGCAUCCCGGCACACAGCACGUGUGGAAGCACAUUCAGUGCAGCGUACUUUGGCUGUAAAAAUACUCUGAUGUGCCCCGUCCGUGCUACAGCCGUGGUAAGGUGCAAGGGGGGCUGGGGUGCUCUCUGUUUGGUUUUGUUUAGAAUCUGACUUGCACGAGCAAUAGCAAAGUUCACAAGGGGAAAUCCAUCGUAAUGUAAUACAGGGUAGUAGUAAGUGCAUCGCUGGCAAAUGGGGUAGGAAUUUAAGGGGACAUGCUUCAGCUGCACCAGCACCUGCAUUUGCUCAUCCUCAUUGAUACAGGUACAAGCCUUGCUCUUGAGUUCUGUUUACAUUCUGUUCCCAGUACGAGAUGACCAUAGAGAAGGCGUUAGGCUACCCUGUGUGAUGCGUGCCCAUUUUCCCUAUAGGCUGCGGUAGCUUUACCCCGAGCUGAUUUUUGUAAAUAUACCAAAUAAUACAGUUGAGGGAUUUUAUUCAUUUUUACUGUAACAAGAAAUGAUUGUAGCCAAUUGGCAGCAGAUCCCAGCUAUGUUAGGGAUGCAGUAACGAAAUAGUCACUUUUUUCCAAGUUUCUCAAAAGUUCUUUUAAAACCAGUGUUUAAUUAUGCACAGUUGGUUGGCUGGUGGUAAUUUAACAGUAUAUUUUAUGAGAGUAAACUGUCCUUAUAUGCUUCUACAUGGAAGGCUGGUGGGGAUUUAAUCAAGGUGCAUAUUUACAGAAUGCUAACUUCUCUGCAUUAACUUUUCCCUGGCAUAUUGUUGAUCUGCACCAAAUCUGCCUCUGUGCUUUGCAGUUAAAUCUAUUUUGCACAUAUAAAUAUAUGCAUUAAGCUACAAGUAACAAAUGCAAACUGAAAGUCCUCACUUAGAGCGUAGCGAGUGCACCAUAAAUUCAUACCAUAACUCCAUGCCAACUUCCCAGCCUCAGGAGGCUAAGUAAUGAGGCCUCUGGAGUCACUAAAUUUGCUUUUUAGGUCAUGCUGAUUAGGAAUGCUGGUUUGCUAAAAGACAGAUUUUUUAAAAUUUAUUUAUAUAUUUUUCUGUACUACUUUUCUAGUUGAUUUGGAGACUGGUGGUUUAAAGGAACUUGCCUAUUCCACCUUUGCAGGCAUGCUGCGUUUGCAGAAAUGGGAACAUCUUGUUAGAAGUGGGAAGGCAGGGACAGACGCCAAGCGAGGACUGUGAGUGCAAGAGCAGAAGUCAGGACUGCUCUUGAAUAAUCAAAGUUAGUAAAAACUAAAUUAAAAACUCAUUCAGCUACAGCUUCCUACUUAACUCUUACGCCUCGGCUGUCAGCUUCCAAAGUGGAGAGCUGACAGUGUAAUCCAUUCCAGUAAGGUUUUUUUCCUUUUUGAAGUGGUACAAUUUGGUAUACAAAAGUCAAAUAGACUGGAAAAAAGACAUAAAACUUCCUGACCAGCCUCAGAGGCCACAAGCCCCCUGCUGAGUUACAGAUUUCUUUACAGCACUGAGUUAGUAGCAUCCCCAGGAGCAGUGACAGAAAAGCACGUAUACAGAUUUUAUACUGAGAUCUGCAAAGAAAAUUGAGUUUCCAUGUAUCUACAAUUAUUUCUAAUUUAGCUGUUGCUUCCUAUUCAGACACUAUUUCCUACACAAAAGGUGGCCUCAAUGCUGCUUUUUCCCUUCUAUAAAAAGCUUUUUUUCUUCAGAUGCUGCUAAAGCAGUUGUCUGGAGCUGUCCAGGGAAGCACCUAGCUGGGAAGGGGAGUAAGGAUUUAUGUUUUUUUACAUUGCUUUUACAACUUAUUGUUAAAGAGAGAAAUCCUAGAUUACCCCAGACAGAUCUGGCAGUGUUUAGCCAGAUAAACAGCUGUCAGUCACCUCAGUGUAAGAGCUGUCAUCCUUUUUCCUAAGGGACUGUCACUCCCUUUAAAGAAAAGCUGAAAAAAGAGUGUAUGCAAAUACCUUUUAAAAACAAAUUUUAAGUCUAACUUACAGUUCGUAACUUGCAAAAUCACAUUUAAUUUAUAUUCCAUAUUUCAAGUAGAAAUAGAGCACUAAUAUGCAUUAAAUGGUGAUGGUCAAAUCUGGGUUUCCUCCUUUAGGGUUGCCCAUGGCCAAGCAGCCCAUAUUUAAACACCACUUUCUCUCUCUGUAGAUGUACAGAACUAUUUUAAAUCAUGUUGGUAACACUUCUUUUUUUUACUGGCCUGUGUCUCCAAUCAAGACAUGACCUUUGUGAAUGCAUUUUUGCUUUCGGGGGUUUGUUCUCUGUUAGGGAAAAACAUGGCCCUGAACUCAGGCUUUGUGCCCAGCUGCUUUCUGCUUUGCUUCUCGCAUCCGUAAGUGUGAGACCUGUAGUUGCAUUGAAGGCUCUGAAUUCAAAGGUUAAAAAUACUGCGGCGCUCUAAAUAGGACUGUGACAUUGUUCGAACUAGUGUUCUUUAAGACUUGGGCAAGUAGAGCUGGAGCUGAAAGGGAAGAGCUACACUUGAACACAACUGUUUGAGGAUGGGAGCUUCUGGCUGUGCCAGACACCUCUUAGCUCUCAGGGUUUCAUCUGUACUGAGACAGCACGGGCGGCACUUCAGCCAGAGGGCACCUUGGCGAAAUGCACUUUGACUGGGAAGAGUGGGAAGCGUACGGGAGUGUUGUGCUUGGCUGCAGAGCCCAUGACAGUUACUGGAAUAGGCAAGGGGGAAAAAUGGGAUUGCAGUGACCACAUCUAGCGCGUUGCCAGAGAAGUUUGAGAGGUUGGAGUGCUUCGUGCUCCAGCCACCACACACUGAUGACCGGCUCUCAAAUAGAAGUCAGCAGAUGUAGGCAGGUGAAAAGCAGAUUUUUGAUCGGUUGAACUUCUUAAUAAACAGUAUUCAUAGUAAGUAAUUACAUAGGAAGAGGGGGGGGCUCCAUGCAUUCCUGUCUCCCCUUAACUCACUUAACAAUUCUUAAGUCUAAUUAAAAUUUUUAAUAGCUUUUUCUUUCAAUAGAGACUGAUCUUUGAUGAAAAUGAUGUGGUUCUGACAAACAGUAUCUGUAAGAGCGCACUUUCUGUCUUUUGUCACUGGCUGGUGCUCUGAGCCAUACAGGGUUGUCUAGGUGACUAUUUAUUUCUUUACCUAAGUUUCUUAUGUUUAAAAAACAACUGUUCUAUGAAUUUGGUUGUUUCAGACCGUGCUAUAAAUUUGGUCAUUUCAGCACAGGUAUCAGAAUUAAGGGUUUGCUAAGAAAAUAACAUUGCCUAUCCUGUCUGCUCCUGAAAUCUGUUUUAGUAAUACUUAUUUUUACUCUGACUUUUUUAAAUGGCAAGUCACACCUGAAUCAGGUAGCCAGGAUGUGCUGUUCCGCCUGUUCGUGUCUGGGGGUUGUGUUCUCCCAUGGCUGUAACGGGUUGACUGGGUUUUGCGCGGAGCACUUGCAAGUGCAGAGCCCUGGUGCUUGUCCAGAUUGAACUCUUAUCUAUGCUUUGGGUUUUUUUUACACAAACCACUUGCAAUUAUUGUUAUUAUAUCCCUUUUAAUAGUGAUUUAAAUAUUUUAUAUCUCACACAAAUACUAUUUAAAAUAUUAAUUAAUAAUUAAUAAUAGAAAGAAUAUUAAACGCUUUCUUCCAUUUUCAUUGGUAAGGAUAGGCUAACUGUACUCAGAAUAAUUUAACAUAUGAAUUUUCCUAGAAAUUAAAGCAAAAAGCUUAGCCUACAAGCUGUUGAAACCUCUUUUAAAACAGUAAUUGUCAAGGAGAUACAAAUUUUAAUAACAAUACCAAGUUGUCUAACAUGGUACUUACACAGAUAUUCUGAGGUUAUAUUACGGUAUUAGGAACCUUUAAAUAAAGUACAGGAGCAUUGGUUUCAGAGGAAAAAUCACUGCUGCUAUCAUGGACUGUGCUUUGUAUGUUCAGGGGCAAUUAAUUACCGCAGGGGGGUUGGAGCUGACAAGUGCAUGCCUGAAGUGGGAGCUGGGUUUUGGGAAGGCGGGUGGCUUUUUGGAGGUGCAAGCCCAGGCUGUGAUUGCAGCCGUGGUUCUAGGGAAGAGGGGCUGGUGCUGGGCUCCUUGUGCGGCGCGGGGCUGGAGCCCUGCCAUUUGGGGUGGGUUUACACUGUCCCGUAGCACCCAGGCGGCUGCACCUGUCAUCUCAUUUUUUUCUGGCUUAAGUUCAGUCAACAAAGAAGCUGCCUCUUGUUGUGGUUGUCAUUUGCCCAGGAAGUAAAAGCAAAUUGUAAUGAGGCACUCGCAGCAGGAGGAGCUCCUAAGAAAUGAGAGGCAUGUAUUGACAGACAGCCCGCCUGCUGGUCCGGCGAGAAAUGGGGUUAUACAUGGCCUGCCAAGGCACUUCGGGCUCUCGUUGAACGCUGCCUCCCAGAUGGUGCGCAGCGCAUCUGAAUAUGGAGUAAUUGUAAUGGCUGAUGCAAAAUUGUAUUACUGUAAGGUUAAAAAUCAAGUUAUAUAUUUUAUUAAGUUAAAAAAUGUCAUACAUGCGCUUUGACUUUAUUGAGAAGCCACUUGAAGGACAGGAAGAAAAUUAGUUUAAAGAUGCAAAUAUACUCUUUUUCUCAGUACAGUCCUGAAAUGUUACUGCAAUUGUUAGUACUGCUGGAACUACCAUAGAAAUUGAAUUAGUAAAGAUACUUGAAACUGUCUUAAGUUAAUAGUAUUUUAGAUAUUUCCACCAAAUUGCUUAAAAAGUAGAGAUUUUAUUUUUUUUAAGUGUUCAUAAAAACUUUGUGACAGACUAUCUUGUAAGAAUUUACUUUUGGUAUGAAAAAUGAGGCAAUGUUUUAGAUACUUCUUCAGGUGAAGCCAUUUAGCUUUGUAGAAGAACGCUGUUUUACAAAACCCAAAAGCUGGGGGUGCCCUGCCCCUGCCUGCCCUGUGGCCGUGGCAGUGUGGGGGCCAGCGCGGUGGCCGGGGCAGCCAGCCUUGGCAAGGACAGCACACGACUGGAGGGAAAGACUUUGCUUGCUGGCUUAUUCAGUGAGGACAGCUGUAAAUAAGUUCCAUUUCAUCUUUUUUAAACACAAAGAUUAGUAUAUAUUAUUCAACGCUUUUAAGCAUAGGACUUUCAAGUUUCAUUUUAUUCAGAAUCCAUUAUACUUAUAUAAGAGAAUUAAAACAUAACAAAAAGUUACAGAAACCCUGCACUUGUAUUGAGGGCACAUGAGUAGAUUGUCUGCUGUGUUUAAAUACUGACUUUCUACGCACCUCUGUGGGGAGGGUUCAUGCUGGCUGCCACGCUCACUGUAGUGCCCUGCACCGGCCAUCUCGUCGGCUGCAGGUGCCAGGCACCUCCCGGCCGCAGGUUAAUAGAAGGGAGGCAAAGCUAUACCAGCUACCACUGGAAACACACCAUCAGGAAUGUGAGAGUAAGUGGGGACUUCCUACCAUCUGUUGAAAAUCCCUGGUACCCCCUCCAUUGUAGGCACCGAUCUUAAGUCCAUAUAUUCUGAAAUAAGGAAAUCAGUCACAUGAAAGUAUGAUGUGAAGAACAUAGAGCAAAAGAAGACAGAUGUGCGGGAGCCCAGGAAGGAGUGCUGCUGCAAACAAAGAUAAGAUUCACAAUCUCUGAAGAAAAAAAGAAGAAUGGCUCUUGGGCAUAGUACAUCGCAGCCUGGCGAAGGUGCUGUUCAUCUCCUGGGGACUGAAGUGAGAGCAGCCGAGCAGGCACUGCAGGGGCUUGUGUUUACCUUUGAAGUGGUUGUCCUAAUUAUUUAUUUUUAUAUAUUCACCUCAUAGGUCUGCCACUUUUAUUGUUAUCUCAAAGGCCAGUAUUUAUUCCUUUGCACAGUUUGGGCUCUGUGUAUGUUCUGCAGGUUUUGCACUCUACGUUAGCAUUAAAACCCAUCUUCUAAUUUUUUAAUUAAAAAAAAAAGAAAAUUUGUGUUUUGUGUUUCUGUGAUGUGUAAUCCCUCGGUGCCACUGCCAGGGGACCUCAGAGAGGUAUAUGCAUGUCAGUGAAGCACUACUAACCUGCUCUUCUUUUGUGGCUCAUUUCUGGUUAUAUUAUUUGUAAUACGAUUCAAAAAAAAAAAAAAAAAAAAAAAAAAAAAACGACAAACCACCUCUAGAAAUGACUGAUCUGUCAGACCUAGCUGUAUUUAUUAAGACCUGUUCUAAACUUGCAUUAUUUCUUUGUAGUUGGGAGGGGGAAGCAGAGGGAGAGGUGCAUUUUUACAGUAGGUGCCGUCAACCCCAAUGAUUUUCAGCUUAACAUUUCAGUUGUUAAGUAUCUGUUGUUAGACUUUGCCUUUAGCAUAGUGAGUUCUAUGUUUAUGAUUUAUUGACCUUCUCAUAUCAUGUUGCAUUUAUGCCUAAGAACACUUCUAGGUGGUUGCUGUGGCAGAUCACCCCGGCUCGGUUGCUGAAGUUGCCCAUGAAGCCAUUGCCAGUGACUCCUCACUGAUCCAUGAAAGAGUUACAGAAUUGCCUCCACCUUAAUUUUCACAUAACUGUUCCUUGCCCAGAGAUUAUUUGUGUCCUGCGCAGAAGUUGGAGCUCUUAUUUUCCUACUGCUCCAAGCUAAAAGCAGGCACAUCAUUUUAGGGGUAUUGCUCAGCUGUGGCAAACCUCCACUUUUGUGUGUGUUUCACACGACGGGCACCGGAAGGGCAGUGCUUCUGGGGGUGAUACAUUAGGCGUGAGGUUUCCUCAGUAAGUGAAUUUUUUGUUUCCGUUUGGUCAAGGUACCCCUAGAGACUGGGGAGAUUAAUAUCAAAUAAUAAAGGUGAUAAAAUAUUAGUGUCUCUCUCUAGGAGUACUUAAGUUACUUUAUCAAUUUAAAGUAUGCAUUUCAGUAUAUUAUGAAAAUAAAACCGCUGCAGGGUACAGUGUUUGUUUUUUAUGUCACCUUUAAUAGAAUAUUGCAGUUCAAUGCAGAGUUUACCAAAUAUUGGACUUGGUAUUUAGGUUGCCAUAGCUUCAGUAUAUCAUGCAUUACAGGACGGCAGUGGCAGGUGCAGAAGUCAAA